AUUAUAAAGAAGAAUGGAGUCUAAUUUUUAUUUCUUUCAUACUGCUACUGUUAUUUAUUUCAAAGAUUUUGAAAAAAAAUGAUUAAUCAUGUUCUCUAGUCAUUGUUGAUUUAUUCAUCCACCCAAAAUGUAUUUCAGCAAAAAAAGAAAUUAUUGUUAUAGGUGUGGGUAUCUUUCUCCGAAUAGAGAUAUAUUUGACGUCGGUGGUUGGUUUUCCGGCGACGGUGGCAACGACAAGGACGACAUUAUCAUAGUUAAAACAGGAACAGAUGUACCAAUAAGCAUGGCUUGUGCAUCAAUGGCAGUCAUCAUCAACAUGGCAGGGUUUGGCAGUGAACAAAGUCAACAUAGCAUGGCUUGAUCUGAUUUGAUUUUUAUUGUAAUUUAUUUUUGGCUUUAUUCUUAGUUUGUAAUUUGAU